UACAGAGGGGGCAAGCGUUAUUCGGAAUUAUUGGGCAUAAAGGGCGCGUAGGCGGCUUGGCAAGUGGAAGGUGAAAUCCCUCGGCUUAACCGAGGAACUGCCCUCCAAACUGCUUCGCUUGAGACCGGGAGAGGUGAGUGGAAUUCCCAGUGUAGCGGUGAAAUGCGUAGAUAUUGGGAGGAACACCAGUGGCGAAGGCGGCUCACUGGACCGGUACUGACGCUGAGGAGCGAAAGCGUGGGGAGCGAACAGG
rnacentral:rRNA from 1 species